UCAAAAUAUAGUUUAUUAAAAAUAUUAAUUUUGGAAAUUAAUGAUAUAAAUAAAAAUUAUUUUUUGAA
rnacentral:tRNA from 1 species